GGGCAUUUGGUCUAGUGGUAUGAUUCUCGCUUUGGGUGCGAGAGGUCCCGAGUUCAAUUUUCAGGAAUACCCC
rfam:Picea glauca, whole genome shotgun sequence.